UGGGGAAUUUUGGACAAUGGGGGAAACCCUGAUCCAGCCAUCCCGCGUGUGCGAUGAAGGCCUUCGGGUUGUAAAGCACUUUUGGCAGGAAAGAAACGUCGCGGGUUAAUACCCCGCGAAACUGACGGUACCUGCAGAAUAAGCACCGGCUAACUACGUGCCAGCAGCCGCGGUAAUACGUAGGGUGCAAGCGUUAAUCGGAAGUUACUGGGCGUAAAGCGUGCGCAGGCGGUUCGGAAAGAAAGAUGUGAAAUCCCAGAGCUUAACUUUGGAACUGCAUUUUUAACUACCGGGCUAGAGUGUGUCAGAGGGAGGUGGAAUUCCGCGUGUAGCAGUGAAAUGCGUAGAUAUGCGGAGGAACACCGAUGGCGAAGGCAGCCUCCUGGGGAUAACACUGACGCUCAUGCACGAAAAGCGUGGGGGAGC
rnacentral:rRNA from 1 species